CAAUGGUUCUAUUUGUUGGUUUCUAGGACCGUUGUAAUGAUUAAUAGGGAUAGUUGGGGGCAUUAGUAUUCAAUUGUCAGAGGUGAAAUUCUUGGAUUUAUUGAAGACUAACUACUGCGAAAGCAUUUGCCAAGGAUGUUUUCAUUAAUCAAGAACGAAAGUUAGGGGAUCGAAGACGAUCAGAUACCGUCGUAGUCUUAACCGUAAACUAUGCCGACUAGGGAUCGGGCGAUGUUCUUUUUCUGACUCGCUCGGCACCUUACGAGAAAUCAAAGUUUUUGGGUUCUGGGGGGAGUAUGGUCGCAAGGCUGAAACUUAAAGGAAUUGACGGAAGGGCACCACCAGGAGUGGAGCCUGCGGCUUAAUUUGACUCAACACGG
rnacentral:rRNA from 1 species